rnacentral:lncRNA from 1 species
UUUUGGGGGUGUGACAGAUUGGUAUCAGAGCCAUUGGUUAUAGAGAACUUGGUUUUAAUAUGGGAAAACGUUUUUAUUAAAACCAGACUAUAACCAGAACAGUGCUCUCAACGAUCCACAACGACGCUUCGCUCCAUGUGCAAGACUCAACAUCCUAGGUCGUUAGAUACAUGGAGCUUGCACAGGGAGGAGCUGGUCGUUGUGGGCUUGGAUCGUGAUUGUUUGUUAAACACUUUAUGA